rnacentral:rRNA from 1 species
CGUGCGCAAGGCGGUUAUGUAAGACAGAUGUGAAAUCCCCGGGCUCCCCUGGGAACUGCAUUUGUGACUGCAUGGCUAGAGUACGGUAGAGGGGGAUGGAAUUCCGCGUGUAGCAGUGAAAUGCGUAGAUAUGCGGAGGAACACCGAUGGCGAAGGCAAUCCCCUGGACCUGUACUGACGCUCAUGCACGAAAGCGUGGGGAGCAAACAGGAUUAGAUACCCUGGUAGUCCACGCCCUAAACGAUGUCAACUGGUUGUUGGGAAUUAGUUUUCUCAGUAACGAAGCUAACGCGUGAAGUUGACCGCCUGGGGAGUACGGCCGCAAGGUUGAAACUCAAAUAAAUUGACGGGA